CCCGCCUCUUCCGGGGGCGGGGCACGUGAGAUAAUGCGUGGAGCGUGCUGAAGAGGGCACCAGAUCUCACUACAGAUGGUUGUGAACCACCAUAUGGUUGCUGGGAAUUGAACUCAGGACCUCUGGAAGAACAGCCAGUGUUCUUAACCUCUGAGCCAUCUCUCCAGCCCCAAGACCCUGUCUCUUAAAACAAACAGAAUUGCAGAAUUUACACAAUCUGAACCCCAGGGAAGCCAGAUGUUUUCCACUGCACAUCCACUUUUCCCUGUGGUCUGAUGAAUGGCGGCCCUGUUUCCUGAGUCUCCAUAUCCUGACUUCCGAACAUCCCAGAGCCUGCUGCCAACUUUAUUUUUAAUGAGGUUUUAAUAGGCCGUUUCUGUAAUUAAUUUCAUUCUUGUAUUUUCACACUUUCUGUCUAGAUGCCUAAACGCCCCCAGGCGCUAGGUGGGAUGUUAACUGAUUCCAAAUAAUGCAAAACACUAUGCCUGUGAUUAGACAUUUCCCAAGUCCCUCUCAUUUGCAAUUGCUUUACAAUAAUUAAUUAGCUGGGGCACACAGCCCAGUGGAAGGUCAGCCGGUUACCUGUCAGGUUUUACAGAGGCAGAAAUAGAUAAGGUGAAAAGAUUUGUCCAAGCCCUGAGAGAGUGAGUGUUAAAAUUGGUUUCAGAAACCACAUCCUCAGGUUUCAGAUCUACUGCUCGAGAUUUCCCAUUCGCGGCCAGAGUCUUGGGCCAAAAGUGGUACAGCACAAGCAACUAAGGGAGACAGUUUCUUGCUCCCAAGUCAGCCUCCAGCGGCUGGUGUUGCUUCUAAGAUACGGUCAUCCUCAGCACCCACCCCCUUCCCAUUUUGUGAGCGGACUCCACUGAGCAAGAAACGCG
rnacentral:lncRNA from 1 species